UCGAGAAUCAUUCGCAAUGGGCGAAAGCCUGACGAUGCGACGCCGUGUGAGCGAUGAAGGCCUUAGGGUCGUAAAGCUCUUUCGCUUGGGAACAAGAGAAACUGACUAAUAUUCAGUGGAUUUGAGGGUACCAGGUAAAGAAGCACCGGCUAACUCCGUGCCAGCAGCUGCGGUAAUACGGAGGGUGCAAGCAUUAAUCGGAUUUAUUGGGCGUAAAGGGCGCGUAGGCGGAAAGACAAGUCAGAUGUGAAAUCCCGGGGCUCAACCUCGGAACAGCAUUUGAAACUAUCUUUCUAGAGGGUAGGCGGAGAAAACGGAAUUCCACAAGUAGCGGUGAAAUGCGUAGAUAUGUGGAAGAACACCGGUGGCGAAGGCGGUUUUCUAGCUUAUUCCUGACGCUGAGGCGCGAAAGCAAGGGGAUCAAACAGG
rnacentral:rRNA from 1 species